GUCUUAGCUUGCUAAGACUGAUGGCGACCGGCGCACGGGUGCGUAACGCGUAUGCAACUUGCCUCACAGAGGGGGAUAACCCGUCGAAAGACGGACUAAUACCGCGUACACUUAGGAUAGGGCAUCCUAUCCCAAGGAAAUGAAAUUCGCUGAGAGAUAGGCAUGCGUCCCAUUAGCUAGUUGGUGAGGUAACGGCUCACCAAGGCGACGAUGGGUAGGGGAACUGAGAGGUUGAACCCCCACACUGGUACUGAGACACGGACCAGACUCCUACGGGAGGCAGCAGUGGGGAAUAUUGGUCAAUGGGCGAGAGCCUGAACCAGCCAAGUCGCGUGAAGGAUGACUGUCUUUUGGAUUGUAAACUUCUUUUAUACGGGAAUAACAAGAGUCACGUGUGACUCCCUGCAUGUACCGUAUGAAUAAGCAUCGGCUAACUCCGUGCCAGCAGCCGCGGUAAUACGGAGGAUGCGAGCGUUAUCCGGAUUUAUUGGGUUUAAAGGGUGCGUAGGCGGCCUGUUAAGUCAGCGGUGAAAUCUAGGAGCUUAACUCCUAAAUUGCCAUUGAUACUGGCGGGCUUGAGUGUAGAUGAGGUAAGCGGAAUGCGUGGUGUAGCGGUGGAAUGCAUAAAUAUCACGCAGAACUCCGAUUGCGAAGGCAGCUUACUAAGGUACAACUGACGCUGAAGCACGAAAGCGUGGGUAUCAAACAGGAUUAGA
rnacentral:rRNA from 1 species